GGCCCGAGACAGGCGUUUGCUUAAGUUACUGCGUUCGCCGGGGUGGUGUUAUCGCAGCUCCGCACACAGUGCUGAGCCUGCUGGCCGCCAGGACGGCACGGGAUCUCAGGGGUACUCCGAGAUCUCCACAGCCGGUCCUCACCUGUAAAGAGCGCUAAUGGUACGAUGCGACCACAGAUCCACCGGCAAAGCUCAACUUCAUCUCGGUCCGCGUGAACUCCGUCGAAGUUCUUUCCGCGGUCUCUGCUGCCACCGCGUGGCCGAUCUGUGUGGAAAACUGCGAUCAGCAACUCUUAGGAAACUUGGCAGCGCUGCUUACGAUGACUAUGGAGCUGCUCCGUGCUAGUGCUAGUCCCGGGAGGCUGCGGUGCCGGAGCCGCUCCACGCUAGUACUGUGACGGCGAAUCUCCGAGCUGCUCGUGUUCCACUACCGCUGAGAGUGCCAAUCAUCGUCUUUUUUUAAUUUAUUUUCUCCCUCCUCACCCCCCCCCCCCCCCAUCUAACUUUGCGUUUUUCCUCUGCCCUUAUGAGAAAGAGCACCACGGACUGUGGUGCGGAUCCGCAUCAAUCCAGUCAGAGAAGUUUAUUCCGUGGUCUCUGGUGUCCCAGAGACAUAUUCAACAGACUACCUUGAACCCCACUACAUAUUCAUUAAUCAAGUCCCUCCUCCCUGGCGCAUGUGUUGUAUUCUUGCCUGGAUGGUCACAUCCCCAUCUGUGGUCUCGUGGGAUGAAGUAAACACUCUUCCUCAGCACAUCUUCUUGAACUUUAGCCUACUUUUCUCCUCGCUAUUCUAAUUCUUGCUGAUGAGGUUCAUCCCUUCCUCAUUAUUUUGCUGACAGUGAGACUGGGGCCUAUUUUCCCCUAGCUCCCUCCACCAGUUUCCUCUCUUUCUUGCUGACAAGGAGUCUGGUACCUAUGUUUUUCUUGCUGCAAAAGAGUGCUUCUGUGGAAUUUAAGCAAUAAGCAGAAUCCAAAUCCCCUUCUAUUUUAUUAAAGUAAGCAGAAUCCAACCCCCCCCUCCCCCCCUUUAUCAUUUGCAGAAAGCACAGGGCUAUAUUAAUGUGUGCUCAGCCUCUGUCUUGUUCAUACUUUAAUAUAUUUGUUUCCAAGUGCCUUUCUUCAACUCCAAGUUUCAUUUCUGUCUUUUUAUUCUUUUAACACCAUAAAAUGGGUAGUUCUAGGCCCUAACAAGUCUAAACAGGCAGACACUGCACAAAGCUGCAGUUUUGAGAUGUGUGUGGACCAUUAUGUUGUUUCCACACAGAUUAAUGAAAGCUGCAGUUCUCCACCACAGUUUACAGAUGGAAAAAAAACUAACUCACCUGCAUAGAAUGAAUCAGUGUGUCACAGCUCCCUUUGGCAAGAUGGCCUGAGAGUUGUGCAGGCCUAUCAGGCUCGGCUGCAGCUUUUCAUCUGCCCUUCUCUGGUCCUCCUGCAGCUGGGGAGAUAGCCCACAAGGUCAUGGGGUAUGCAGACCCUCCCCAGUCAACUGCCGCAGUCGCUCCUGCCAGCAUUCCCUUUCCCCUUUCACAGACUGGAACCCUGUGUGGCAGAGAAAGAGAGAGCAGUGGACUCCAGGCUGGAGCAGUGCAGCCAGGCACGGCUGCACAGCUCACAGCAUACGCACGCGGAGGAAGUUCAUCCAGCUGAGGACUGCUGGGCUGUCCUUACCAAGUACUCCUCCAUCCUACAGGUUUGCAUGAACUGCAGCAGUUGCUUGAGUACUUUCCACUGCAGGAGCUCAGAAGCAACAACCCCAACAGGCGAUAAUAAUAUACACACACAAAUACACACCCAAUACAGAAUCUGGCACUCUACAGUCCUCCCAGAGCUUGUUACUGUUUGUAAGGCUGCUCUACAGGUAUUCUGUCCUUUCCCCUUCAUUUCCCUGUCUUGCCCUCUUCCUUUGCCCCAUGCCUUCCCCACUCCUUUUUCAGGCUUCCCCCUUUGUAUGGUUAAUAAGUAUACAGAUGUUAUACAGUACACAGAAAAGUUAGGCUGGUAAGAUUACCAUGUUGGAAAAGAUAUAAAUGCAAGGUGCUCACCAGUGUUGUAGGCUCCCAAAAACUCCACAAGGAGCAAUCUACAGGAAGAGAUCCUUUCUCAGUGGCAGUCAGCCCUUAAAUGGGAUCUAGGAGAGGUGGGGCCUGGCUCCACCCCUUCUGGUCACACAGGUGAAUUGCUUUCACCUGUGCUCCCACAGCUGACUCAGUGCUUGCCACAGGUGAUCAAUCAGAGGUUCAGGCUGUGAUUCAACAGUUCCCACCCUUCUAUUUCCUCACCUCCUUCCCCACGCCUUCCCUCUGCAACAGCGCCAUGUUCUGUUGCUGUUCUCAGCUGAUACUCCUUAAACCACACUUUUCAAACACAUUGGAUCAGAUUGCAUAUUAGCACUGAUUUAAAAAAAAAAAAAAAAGAAUAAGCAAAUACGGUAUUAUGUAUGGAUAACAAACUCCUACCUGCUUGAAGACCAAUAGUAGCUCCUCAUCCUGAACACAACCGGGUCUCCUCUGCAUGGAUUUGGCGUAAGCAGUGGCUUUGCAAUAUUAGAUUUGAGUCUUUGACUUCCACCUCAAGUUCUAGUGUAAUUCAGGAUACCAAAAAGCAUGUGACCGGUUCUUUCAAAACAAGGUACAUUAGAAGAAAAUACACAAUUAAAAACAGUCAACAACACACAAUUCUAAAUAAAAGUAUGCUACAACUUGGA